rnacentral:rRNA from 1 species
AUACGUAGGGGGCGAGCGUUGUCCGGAAUUACUGGGCGUAAAGGGCGUGUAGGCGGCUGAUUAAGUCAGAUGUGAAAGGCCCCGGCUUAACCGGGGUAUUGCAUUUGAAACUGGUUAGCUUGAGUGCAGGAGAGGAAAGUGGAAUUCCUAGUGUAGCGGUGAAAUGCGUAGAUAUUAGGAGGAACACCAGUGGCGAAGGCGACUUUCUGGACUGCAACUGACGCUGAGGCGCGAAAGCGUGGGUAGCGAACAGGAUUAGAUACCCUGGUGGUCCACGCUGUAAACGAUGGAUACUAGGUGUAGGAGGUAUCGACUCCUUCUGUGCCGGAGUAAACGCAAUAAGUAUCCCGCCUGGGGAGUACGGCCGCAAGGUUGAA